rnacentral:rRNA from 1 species
UACGUAGGGUGCAAGCGUUAAUCGUAAUUACUGGGCGUAAAGCGUGCGCAGGCGGCUUUGCAAGACAGAUGUGAAAUCCCCGGGCUCAACCUGGGAACUGCAUUUGUGACUGCAAGGCUGGAGUACGGCAGAGGGGGAUGGAAUUCCGCGUGUAGCAGUGAAAUGCGUAGAUAUGCGGAGGAACACCGAUGGCGAAGGCAAUCCCCUGGGCCUGUACUGACGCUCAUGCACGAAAGCGUGGGGAGCAAACAGG